rnacentral:ncRNA from 2 species
UAAAUUAGAAUAUGGACAACUCAUAUAUGCCCAUGAAAUGGAUGGGCGUUUCUACCGACUACCAAAACAGUUGACUAUGAGGCUUAUUUAAACAAGC